GAGGUAGCAUAUUAGCUAUAAGGAUGGAGCUAUUGAUUAUAGACAACCUAGUAACUAUAAGGAAAAACUAUUGAUGAUAUAUAGCUUAGUAGCUAUACAGAGAAGCUUUUGAUAAUAGGUAAGAUAAUAGCUUCAAGGAAAAAUUAUUGGUAAUGGGUAGGAGAAGAAUAUGAAAUUUUGGGAGAAUU